rnacentral:rRNA from 1 species
AUUGAACGCUGGCGGCAGGCCUAACACAUGCAAGUCGAACGGUAACAGGAAGAAGCUUGCUUCUUUGCUGACGAGGGGCGGACGGGUGAGUAAUGACCGGGAAACUGCCUGAUGGAGGGGGAUAACAACUGGAAACGGUAGCUAAUACCGAAUAACGUCGCAAGACCAAAGUGGGGGGCAUUCGGGCCUCUUGCCAUCGGAUGUGCCCAGAUGGGAUUAGCUAGGAGGGGGGGUAACGGCUCACCUUGGCGACGUUCCCUAGCUGGUCUGAGAGGAGUACCAGCCACACUGGAACUGAGACACGGUCCAGACUCCUACGGGGGGCAGCAGUGGGGAAUAUUGCACAAGGGGCGCAGCCUGAUGCAGCCAUGCCGCGUGGAUGAAGAAGGCCUUCGGGUUGUAAAGUACUUUCAGCGGGGAGGAAGGGAGUAAAGUUAAUACCUUUGCUCAUUGACGUUACCCGCAGAAGAAGCACCGGCUAACUCCGU